AACGAUUACUGAUGUAUCUGAAGUUUGAUUCACAGAUUUCUGGCUAAUGUUUUAUUAGGAACAAGAUAUGUGAAAAAUGGGACCAGUGAUGGACUAGUGCUGUAUAAUGAUGGGGAGAAGAAGGAUGUCUUAAACCCUGAUAGCUCAGCUCAAGACCAACACAUUACACAAGAUGAAACUGAGGUUGAAGUGACAUAUUCAACUGUUGUCCAUGUUAAAAAUGCAGCAAGACCUGCUCAAAAACAGAUCGUCACAGCAGAAUACUCUGAAUAUGCCUGCUUAAAAUAAAGCUAAAACACACACGUUUGUAAAAACUAUAUAAGCAACAAAGCAGCUGGACCCUAGUGGUCAGUUCCUUUAACUUAACCUGCAGCUAUUGUAUUGUUCUAUUUUAAUUUACAGUAUACUAUCUGCUUUAGUAAUGUACAGUUAAGGUCAAUUAACUAUUCGCAAAAUUGAAAACAGUAGGGGAGAGCGGGGCACAGCGCCACGAGGGGGCAAAAGGGGGCAUUUCCCCCUCAGAUCUGAUUUGUGCCCCCUCUGUUUAAUUUUUUUAAAUCAUGUUUACAAAUAAAAUGUUCAGCCUUUUAAGUUAAUAAUUUAACCUUAUCCCCAUAUGGGAUUUAAAAUGUUCAGUGAUGUGACUAUACUGCCAGAUUCAAACGUCUUUCACCUUAGUUGGCGCUGAGCUAUAGACGGAUGAGCUCAGCGCUGUCAUAUAUCAACACAUGCAGUGUUUUCAACCUCAAAAUUUUUAUUUUAGAUUUCAGACAUUUAAAUACACAUGGUAAAACAAUAGCCUACUUUUAGUUUGUAAAAUACACA